rnacentral:rRNA from 1 species
CCUACGGGAGACAGCAGUAGGGAAUAUUGCUCAAUGGGGGAAACCCUGAAGCAGCAACGCCGCGUGGAGGAUGACGGUUUUAGGAUUGUAAACUCCUUUUGUGAGAGAAGAUAAUGACGGUAUCUCACGAAUAAGCACCGGCUAACUCCGUGCCAGCAGCCGCGGUAAUACGGAGGGUGCAAGCGUUACUCGGAAUCACUAGGCGUAAAGAGUGCGCAGGCGGGCUUGUAAGUCAGAUGUGAAAUCCUGUAGCUUAACUACAGAACUGCAUUUGAAACUAUGAGUCUAGAGUGUGGGAGAGGUAGGUGGAAUUCUUGGUGUAGGGGUAAAAUGCGUAGAUAUCAAGAGGAAUACUCAUUGCGAAGGCGACCUACUGGAACAUUACUGACGCUCAUGCACGAAAGCGUGGGGAGCAAACAGGAUUAGAUACCCCUGUAGUC